rnacentral:sRNA from 1 species
UCAAUAAGACGAGUGGCCUAGGCUAGUGACCUCCAUUGCACAUAACGGAGGGGUGCUUAGCUUAAGGUCUCCCCAAGUGGGAGAGCCUGCGUCAUUAUUUGUGGCAGAGGGGGCCUGCGUUCGCGCGGUCCCUACCAUUCUUUUUACAUGAAACCUUUGUUAAAUAAAGCUGUAAAAGGGCUCAGUGAAUUUGUGGAAGACACUCUUUUGCAUUGGAGACGGUGCAGCCGGUUUGAUCGCAUCGAACCGGUGGCUGUGGUGGUACCGAUUGGACGGUCCAUAUUGUGACGAUGAAAGAUAGAAUUGAGAACUGCUGGAGAGUAUGAGAGUAACGCAUCAUUAUUUGG